rfam:Myotis brandtii contig168099, whole genome shotgun sequence.
GGCGGUUCUCAGGUGACGCACCCCAGAAUCGGGCUCCCUCCUCUCUGAUUCCGGGUGCGUCACCCGAGAACCACA